rnacentral:rRNA from 1 species
CAGUAGCCGCGGGAACACGAAGGGGGCUAGCGUUGUUCGGAAUUACUGGGCGUAAAGCGCACGUAGGCGGAUAUUUAAGUCAGGGGUGAAAUCCCAGAGCUCAACUCUGGAACUGCCUUUGAUACUGGGUAUCUUGAGUAUGGAAGAGGUGAGUGGAAUUCCGAGUGUAGAGGUGAAAUUCGUAGAUAUUCGGAGGAACACCAGUGGCGAAGGCGGCUCACUGGUCCAUUACUGACGCUGAGGUGCGAAAGCGUGGGGAGCAAACAGGAUUAGAUACCCGAGUAGUCCCUGUCUCUUAUAC